rnacentral:rRNA from 1 species
ACAACGCAAAAGUAGCGGUAGCACAGAGGAGCUUUCUUCUCGGGUGACGAGUGGCGGACGGGUGAGUAAUGUCUGGGAAACUGCCCGAUGGAGGGGGAUAACUACUGGAAACGGUAGCUAAUACCGCAUAAUGUCGCAAGACCAAAGAGGGGGACCUUCGGGCCUCUUGCCAUCGGAUGUGCCCAGAUGGGAUUAGCUUGUUGGUGAGGUAAUGGCUCACCAAGGCGACGAUCCCUAGCUGGUCUGAGAGGAUGACCAGCCACACUGGAACUGAGACACGGUCCAGACUCCUACGGGAGGCAGCAGUGGGGAAUAUUGCACAAUGGGCGCAAGCCUGAUGCAGCCAUGCCGCGUGUGUGAAGAAGGCCUUCGGGUUGUAAAGCACUUUCAGCGGGGAGGAAGGCAAUGCGGUUAAUAACCGUGUUGAUUGACGUUACCCGCAGAAGAAGCACCGGCUAACUCCGUGCCAGCAGCCGCGGUAAUACGGAGGGUGCAAGCGUUAAUCGGAAUUACUGGGCGUAAAGCGCACGCAGGCGGUCUGUCAAGUCGGAUGUGAAAUCCCCGGGCUCAACCUGGGAACUGCAUUCGAAACUGGCAGGCUUGAGUCUUGUAGAGGGGGGUAGAAUUCCAGGUGUAGCGGUGAAAUGCGUAGAGAUCUGGAGGAAUACCGGUGGCGAAGGCGGCCCCCCGGACAAAGUCUCCGCUCACGCAGAAAGCCUGGGGAGCAACCACGAUCUCUAC